rnacentral:lncRNA from 1 species
UAACCAGAUUUUGGCUCUUGUUAUAGAAAUUCUUACCUGAAGUCUAGAAAGGAGCUGUUGAUCAGGUGGAGCCAACAGAAUCUAUUCUCUAUACUAGAGGAAGAUGGAAAUAAACCUGCAUUAAAGAAAACAAAACAAAGACAAAACAAAAAGCAACAAAAUUCUUAAAAAAUUAAAAACAUGGGUAUUUUUGAAGGCAUCACAUUCUAUAUUUAAUAUUUAGUUAAGUGACUACUUUGAAUUCAUCAAAGCAACAGAACCAAUAGGACACUUUCAUACCCACAAGCACACUCAUACACACACAUACACACACGCACACACACACACACACACACACACACACUCAUACUCAUGAAUGCACAGAGAAUCUUAUUAUAGAGAAUUAGGUCGUUGACAUGAUUGUGGAGAUUGGCAACUCAUUGUGCAGGGUGGGUGUCUACACUAAAGAUUUGAUGUUGCCAUGAAGUUUAAAAACCUUUGGCUGCCUCAUUCAUUGCUGCCUGGGGCAAGUGCAGUACCAUUCCCGUGUUCAGGGUUUUCCACUAGUUGGAGGAGCCAUUUCAGAAGGAACUCUUACCCAAAACAUUGUCACGGCAGCAAAUGUGUGUCAUCUCAGUCCUGGGGAGGUAGAGGCAGGAUGGUCAGGAGGAGUUCAGGGCCAUCCUUGGCUAUAUAAUGAGUUUGACGUCAGCAUGGACUUACAUGAGUCCCUGUCUCAAAGACCUAUGUGAGUAAAAUGAAGUGAGUAUACUACUACAGAAACAUGGAGAACAAUGGACUGAUGUUUGACCAAACACUAUGGAAUCAAGUUUCAAACAUGCAUCUAAACAUCAGUCUGUUAUAUGAUCUCUGCUCUGAAGAACCAUUCCGGAAUAACCAUAUAUACCUCCCAUGUGUCUUUAAGAGAAUUGUUCUAUUGUCCAUUUAUUCUUGGAAAAAGGGACUAAGUAAGGGAGCUUCCCCAUAUGUCCUAGUGCAAGAUUAUAUGUUUGAAACCAAAUCCUAGUGAGCGGUGAGCCCCUGUGCACCAUUCCAGACUUUCACUAUACUUCUAGUCUCUGAUUCCUAAGAUCACAUGGUGCUUGGCUUCUCCUCCCUAGUGCUGCUGGAAGGGCCUUGUUCUGUGGUUUUUGUAAGUUUGUUUACACACUUAUGGUUGGAACUUGGUUUGUUCUGCAGUGUGCCAAAACAAA